AAAAACAUUUCUUAUAAUAUUAUUAUAAGUAAAAUCUGCUCCAUGUAAAAUUAAUAGCCGCAGAACUUUAACUGUGCUAAGGUAGCAUAAUCAUUUACCUUUUAAUUAAAGGUUUGUAUGAAUGAUUUAACAUUUAAAUUUUUUUUUUAUAAAUAAUUAUCAAAUUUAAAUUAAAAAUAAAAAUGUUUUUAUUUAAAAGAAAGACGACAAGACCCUAUUGAACUUUACUUAAGUUUAGCUGGGGAAGCUAAUUAAAUAUAAUUUUAAUUUAAAAUAAAAAGUAAAAUUCUAAUAUAAUUAAAAUUAACAAGUUACCAUAGGGAUAACAGCGUAAUAUUAUUUUAAAGCUCAUAUUAAAAAUAAAGAUUGCGACCUCGAUGUUGAAUU
rnacentral:rRNA from 1 species